CUGCCUGUGUCCUUGUUGACUGCACUUCACAGCUCAGACCCAGCAUUGUUUAAGCUAAGCCAUGGGCUGCUGUAGAUCUUCAAGAAUGUAUUAUUCAACAUUAUCCAGUUCUUCUGGCCAUCUGGACCAAUCGGGGAUGUCUCCUGCAUUGCCAGUUUCAGAAGCUUUUAAAAUAACCUGCUGCAUGACGUGAUUGGGCUGCAUUGAGCAUCUGUCUCUGCAGAUUUCCUGAGCGAGAUGUCCCAAAGCCUUCUGUGAAAAUACCUGUGCACUCAGGUAAACAUCCGUCUGCAGGGGUCUGUGUGGAUGCAUCAGCCGUUGUCAAGCGACGCACAGUGGGAGGGUAAUUGGGAGAGAGGCAUGGCAGUUAGCCUGACAUGUUCAAACAUACCCUAACCACUAUUUUUAUGGUUUCCCGUUACCAUGUCACCAAGCCCUCCGCAACAGAAAACUUACCACUGGCUGCACUUCUGCCCCUGACUCCUGGUCCUGGUUCUGAGAAAGGGAACACUUUAAGACCUGAACCCUAUGCCUGCCGCUUGCUGGCAAUCCAGGCCACUCAAGUGCAGAGGAAAGUGGAAGGGACCCAGGCAUGUCAUCAUCUGGUUCUGAAGAACAGGAGAGACAAGGGACCUCCUCCUCCACACAAGGUAUGUUAAGCCCUGGGGAAUGAUCAAUCACCUGGCACCUAAAGUGACAGCUUCAAUUAAAG
rnacentral:lncRNA from 1 species